CACAUGCAAGUCGAGCGGAUGAGAAGAGCUUGCUCUUCGAUUCAGCGGCGGACGGGUGAGUAAUACCUAGGAAUCUGCCUGGUAGUGGGGGACAACGUUUCGAAAGGAACGCUAAUACCGCAUACGUCCUACGGGAGAAAGCAGGGGACCUUCGGGCCUUGCGCUAUCAGAUGAGCCUAGGUCGGAUUAGCUAGUUGGUGAGGUAAUGGCUCACCAAGGCUACGAUCCGUAACUGGUCUGAGAGGAUGAUCAGUCACACUGGAACUGAGACACGGUCCAGACUCCUACGGGAGGCAGCAGUGGGGAAUAUUGGACAAUGGGCGAAAGCCUGAUCCAGCCAUGCCGCGUGUGUGAAGAAGGUCUUCGGAUUGUAAAGCACUUUAAGUUGGGAGGAAGGGCAGUAAGCGAAUACCUUGCUGUUUUGACGUUACCGACAGAAUAAGCACCGGCUAACUCUGUGCCAGCAGCCGCGGUAAUACAGAGGGUGCAAGCGUUAAUCGGAAUUACUGGGCGUAAAGCGCGCGUAGGUGGUUC
rnacentral:rRNA from 1 species